ensembl:lincRNA Gm28644 predicted gene 28644
GUUAAUUCUCUGCCUGGAAAAGCAACAGAAAAUCAAGAGUGUUUCUCAUACUGUAGUCUUUGCAGUCCCUAUGAAAUCAUGAAGUAUUUAUGCAAAUUGCUUGAGUCUCCAUGGCCCAGAAGCAGGCUAAAGUGCAGAAGAGGUGGAUCUCAAACACAGCUUGUCAAAAUACACCAUGAUGGAGAGCAGUUGCCCUACAAACUGCCAGAUGCUGACAUGCCCAAGAAUGGGGAGGACUUUCUGUGUAGCUGAGGGUUUUGUUCUCCUACAGGAGGUUGGCUGAAGCACUGGAGGGAAGAUGAAGCUGAGUCCUGACCUCGCCAUGUGGUCUGCAGCUGAUUCAUCUGGACCUUGGCCUGGUCACUUUACUGUCUAUUGCUCCAUUUCUAUACCUGUAAAAUAGAAGUGUAGGAGAGGAUCCUCUAUGACGUCUCCUAGCUCUGUAGUUUUAUGACUGUAAUGUAUCAAAUGCCCGUAGCUGUCUAUCAUAGCUGAAGUGGAUUAGGGUUAAUAUUUACCCUAGAAAUUAAGUUUAUCACCUCAUUUUUUAGAAUGAAAUUUAAAAGAUAUAAAUUAUACAUUUAC